GAUGAACGCUGGCGGCGUGCUUAACACAUGCAAGUCGAACGAAGCACUUGAAUGGAAUUCUUUGGAAGGAAGCUCAAGUGACUGAGUGGCGGACGGGCGAGUAACGCGUGGGUAACCUGCCUCAUACAGGGGGAUAACAGUUAGAAAUGACUGCUAAUACCGCAUAAGCACACGUGAUCGCAUGAUCGAGUGUGAAAAACUCCGGUGGUAUGAGAUGGACCCGCGUCUGAUUAGCUAGUUGGUGGGGUAAUGGCCCACCAAGGCGACGAUCAGUAGCCGGCCUGAGAGGGUGAACGGCCACAUUGGGACUGAGACACGGCCCAAACUCCUACGGGAGGCAGCAGUGGGGAAUAUUGCACAAUGGGGGAAACCCUGAUGCAGCGACGCCGCGUGAAGGAUGAAGUAUUUCGGUAUGUAAACUUCUAUCAGCAGGGAAGAAAAUGACGGUAC
rnacentral:rRNA from 1 species